rnacentral:rRNA from 1 species
GUACCGUGAGGGAAAGAUGAAAAGAACUUUGAAAAGAGAGUUAAACAGUACGUGAAAUUGUUGAAAGGGAAACGAUUGAAGUCAGUCAUACCAACGGGAAAUCAACCUUUUGAGCUGGUCUCGUGGGUUUUGAAGAGUUUCAAAGCCUUCGGAUUCGCGAGAUUGGGAUCUCUCGGUGUACUUUUUCGUACGGUUAGUCAACAUCGGUUUUGAAUGUCAUAAAAUGACUGGAGGAAUGUAGCUUCGAUCUCGUAUUGAAGUGUUAUAGCCUUUGGUAGAUGUGAUGUUUGAGACCGAGGAUUGCAACGGAUACCCUUCAGGGCUAUUCGUCUGAUCUCUGAUACGUUGCCUUGAUGUUGAAAGCUUGCUUAUGAUGUUAGGGUAUUACGGUCAAAAGGUUAGAACGAAUUACAUUCGUUAAGG